AUGGAUGGAUUUAAACACAAUUUCUAUGGUUACAUAGUCUGCUUCACUGAUGAUCAGAUUACUGGGAAGAGAAGUACUUCUUUAUCAAGAAGCUGUUUGGUUGGAUAUAGGCUUCAUGGAAAAAAGAAACAGCUGGCUGUAAGCUGUCUUGAGCUCAAGAAGAUUUUGUAAAUGCCAACAAGGUUUUCCUAACUGAAGAGUCUGACAAAUGCACACAGUGAGAGACUGGGUCCCUCAACCACUGUUAGCUGUCAAAAAAGAACAAAACGUUCCCAAAUAGAAACUGCUUGGACUGAGCGGAUGGCUGCAGUAACAGCAGCCAGGAAACAAAGAACUCUGUUCCAAUAAUCAGAAGUGACCAUGUAACAAGAGAAACAGAAUUGUGCAUAAACUCAGAGGGUACUUUGAGAUUAUGUCAACAGUUGGCUAAUUUAUUACAUACUUUUUUUUUUCAGUAUCAAUGUGACUGUAGAAGUAGCUAUAUUAAAUAAUUC
rnacentral:lncRNA from 1 species